rnacentral:rRNA from 1 species
AUACAUGCAAGUAGAACGCUGGAUUUUAGUACUUGUACUAAAUGACGGAGUUGCGAACGGGUGAGUAACACGUGGGGAACCUACCUCUUAGCGGGGGAUAACACAUAGAAAUGUGUGCUAAUACCGCAUAAUUGCUUUUAUCGCAUGAUGAGAGUAUGAAAGGUGCAAAUGCACCACUAAGAGAUGGCCCCGCGGUGCAUUAGCUAGUUGGUGAGGUAAUAGCUCACCAAGGCGACGAUGCAUAGCCGACCUGAGAGGGUGAUCGGCCACAUUGGGACUGAAACACGGCCCAAACUCCUACGGGAGGCAGCAGUAGGGAAUCUUCGGCAAUGGACGAAAGUCUGACCGAACAACGCCGCGUGAGUGAAGAAGGUUUUCGGAUCGUAAAAUUCUGUUGAUAGAGAAAAACGUGUGUGAGAGUGGAAAGUUCAUGCAGUGACGGUAUCUAUCCAGAAAGGGACGGCUAACUACGUGCCAGCAGCCGCGGUAAUACGUAAGACCCAAGCGUUGUCCGGAUUUAUUGGGCGUAAAGCGAGCGCAGGCGGUUUGAUAAGUUGGAUGUCAAAGGCAAUGGCUCAACCAUUGUACGCAUCCAAAACUGUCAGGCUUGAGUGCAGGAGAGGAGAGUGGAAUUCCAUGUGUAGCGGUGAAAUGCGUAGAUAUAUGGAGGAACACCAGUGGCGAAGGCGGCUCUCUGGCCUGUAACUGACGCUGAGGCUCGAAAGCGUGGGGAGCGAACAUGAUUAGAUACCCUGGUAGUCCACGCCGUAUACGAUGAGUGCUAAGUGUUGGAGGGUUCCGCCCUACAGUGC